GACGAACGCUGGCGGCGUGCCUAAUACAUGCAAGUAGAACGCUGAAGAGAGGAGCUUGCUCUUCUUGGAUGAGUUGCGAACGGGUGAGUAACGCGUAGGUAACCUGCCUUGUAGCGGGGGAUAACUAUUGGAAACGAUAGCUAAUACCGCAUAACAAUGGAUGACACAUGUCAUUUAUUUGAAAGGGGCAAUUGCUCCACUACAAGAUGGACCUGCGUUGUAUUAGCUAGUAGGUGAGGUAACGGCUCACCUAGGCGACGAUACAUAGCCGACCUGAGAGGGUGAUCGGCCACACUGGGACUGAGACACGGCCCAGACUCCUACGGGAGGCAGCAGUAGGGAAUCUUCGGCAAUGGGGGCAACCCUGACCGAGCAACGCCGCGUGAGUGAAGAAGGUUUUCGGAUCGUAAAGCUCUGUUGUAAGUCAAGAACGAGUGUGAGAGUGGAAAGUUCACACUGUGACGGUAGCUUACCAGAAAGGGACGGCUAACUACGUGCCAGCAGCCGCGGUAAUACGUAGGUCCCGAGCGUUGUCCGGAUUUAUUGGGCGUAAAGCGAGCGCAGGCGGUUUGAUAAGUCUGAAGUUAAAGGCUGUGGCUCAACCAUAGUUCGCUUUGGAAACUGUCAAACUUGAGUGCAGAAGGGGAGAGUGGAAUUCCAUGUGUAGCGGUGAAAUGCGUAGAUAUAUGGAGGAACACCGGUGGCGAAAGCGGCUCUCUGGUCUGUAACUGACGCUGAGGCUCGAAAGCGUGGGGAGCGAACAGGAUUAGAUACCCUGGUAGUCCACGCCGUAAACGAUGAGUGCUAGGUGUUGGAUCCUUUCCGGGAUUCAGUGCCGCAGCUAACGCAUUAAGCACUCCGCCUGGGGAGUACGACCGCAAGGUUGAAACUCAAAGGAAUUGACGGGGGCCCGCACAAGCGGUGGAGCAUGUGGUUUAAUUCGAAGCAACGCGAAGAACCUUACCAGGUCUUGACAUCCCGAUGCUAUUUCUAGAGAUAGAAAGUUACUUCGGUACAUCGGUGACAGGUGGUGCAUGGUUGUCGUCAGCUCGUGUCGUGAGAUGUUGGGUUAAGUCCCACAACGAGCGCAACCCCUAUUGUUAGUUGCCAUCAUUCAGUUGGGCACUCUAGCGAGACUGCCGGUAAUAAACCGGAGGAAGGUGGGGAUGACGUCAAAUCAUCAUGCCCCUUAUGACCUGGGCUACACACGUGCUACAAUGGUUGGUACAACGAGUUGCGAGUCGGUGACGGCAAGCUAAUCUCUUAAAGCCAAUCUCAGUUCGGAUUGUAGGCUGCAACUCGCCUACAUGAAGUCGGAAUCGCUAGUAAUCGCGGAUCAGCACGCCGCGGUGAAUACGUUCCCGGGCCU
rnacentral:rRNA from 1 species